rnacentral:lncRNA from 1 species
AAGUGCUGGGAUUACAGGCAUAAGCCACUGCGCCCGGCCCCCCCACUUGCUUCUUUAAAGGCCUUCAGUGAACCAAGAUCACCACUGCACUCCAGCCUGGUGACAGAGCGAGACUCUGUCUCAAAAAAAAAAUAAGGCCUUUGAAGAGCUAUUCUAAGCCUGGGGCCUUUUAUAUUCCCAUUCUCUUCAAGAAAAAGACUCUGAGGGAGGAGAUUAGAAGCAGAGAGUCCCAAAGAUGGUGAAGAAUCACAUAAUGAGGCGCUGAAGUAUCAGAAGACAGAAAAGGAAUAGGCAAAAAUAAACUCCAGGGCAAUUAAAUAUCUAAAGUUGUAAAAACAAAACAAAACAAAACACCAACCAACUUCAAAAUUAUCUGGUGCUCACUUUGGCAGCACAUAUGCUACAACUGGAAUGAUACAGAGAUUAGCAUGGACCCUGUGCAAGGAUGACACGCAAAUUCAUGAAGCAUUCCAUAUAUAUUUUUUAAAAUUUAUUUUUAAAGGCUGAGCACAGUGGUUCACACCUGUAAUCCCAGCACUUUGGGAGGCUGAGGCAGGCAGAUCACUUGAGUCCAGGAGUGUGAGACCAGCCUGAGCAACAUGGUGAAACCCCGUCUCUACAAAAAAUACAAAAAUUAGCCAGGCAUGGUGGUGCAUGCCUGUAGUCCCAGCUACCUGGGAGGCUGAGGCAGGAGGGCCGUUUGAGCCCAGGAUGUGGAGGUUGCAGUGGGUUGAGAUUGCACCAUUGCAGUCCAGCUUAGGUGACAGAGUGAGACCUUGUCUCAAAAACAACAACAAAAUUAUUUGAAAAAAUAUAUAGUAUUUUUAUAAUCAAGAUAAAAUUUUAACAAUAAAAUUAUGAAAAAGCAGAAGUAAAAAUGGACCAUUCUGAUUCAAUUGACUAUUAAAAAUAUUUAAAACUCCCAUCUAAAAAACUUUUUUUUCUUUUCUUUUUUUUUUUUUUUUUUGACACAAAUUCUCACCCUGUCGCCCAGGCUGGAGUGCAGUGGUCCAAUCACAGCUCACUGCAGCCUUGACCUCCUGGGCUCAGGUGAUCCUCCCACCUCAGCCUCCCAAGUAGCUGGGACUACAGGCACAUGCCACGACGCCUGGCUAAUUUUUUCCAAAUUAAACUGACAAUGAUAUUUGUUUCACAUCUACAGGACCAUCAAUAAUCUAAAAUUCUGACCAUUUCAAGUGUCAGUGAGGAUAUGGAAAAACUAGGACUCUGAUAUCCUGUAAAACUGAUACACCCACUUUGGAGAGCAACUUGAUAAUAUCUACUCAAGUUGAAAAUGCACUUAUUCUUUGAUCUAGAGAGUCUACUUCCAGAUAAAUGCCUUACAGCAUUGUUUUUCAAUCCAUUAGUGAGUCAUAAAAUCAAUGUAGUGAGUCAUGUCCAGCAUUUUACAAAAAUGAAAUAGGACAGAAUGCAAUAGAGUAGGAAACAGAGUGCAUAUAGCAAGGGCAGGUAUUAUUUUGUUAAAUUUUUAUUUCAUCUAUGAACUGGGUCUCAAUAUAAAACAUAUUUCCAUAGUGGUUUCAAAAAAAAAAACCUCUAAAAACAUUCCUUCAUAGAAACUCUCAUCCAUUAGCACUAGGAGACCUGUUGGAGGAUAUUCCCUGAAAUGUAGUGUUUGUAAUAAUGAAACACUAAAAACAAUGUAAAUGUCAAUCAGUAGCAAAUGGAUAAGCAAAUUGGGGUGUAUUCAUGUGAUGGAACACCAUUCAGCAAGCUAAAUGAAUGAACUUGCUGGGCCAGUGGCUCACACAUGUAAUCCCAGCACUUUGGGAGGCUGAGGUGGGUGGAUCACCUGAGGUCAGGAGUUUGAGACCAGCCAGGUCAACAUGGCAA